UACGUAGGGUGCAAGCGUUGUUCGGAAUUAUUGGGCGUAAAGCGCGUGUAGGCGGCUUUGCAAGUCGGGUGUGAAAGCCCUCAGCUCAACUGAGGAAGUGCGCCCGAAACUGCAGAGCUUGAGUACCGGAGAGGAUGGCGGAAUUCCCCAAGUAGAGGUGAAAUUCGUAGAUAUCGAGAGGAACACCGGUGGCGAAGGCGGCCUUCUGGACAGUGACUGACGCUGAGACGCGAAAGCGUGGGGAGCAAACAGG
rnacentral:rRNA from 1 species